GGAGGAGCCAAGAUGGCCGAAUAGGAACAGUGCUGUCUACAGCUCCCAGCGUGAGUGACGCAGAAGACAGGUGAUUUCUGCAUUUCCAUCUGAGUCAGAGUGACUCUACACACUUCCUGCUUCCACGUUUAGCAUCCCCAAGUGAAGAGAUAUGAAGAGUGUUCAAAAGAUGCUACAAAAUGUUUAGUUUUCAACUCUCCAGAGGAAGCUGACAUGGCAACACUCUGUUAUUUGAAGAUUUGAGUUUUCCUACUACAAGGUGACAUCUCCCAGAAGCCAUCUCUAACCCUAUUGAUGUAAGUGAGAAUCCUUCCUGGGUACCUGCGGAUCCUGCAGCCCCCUUCAUAACAUGACACUGAUGGUGCCGCUCUGAACUUGGUCCUCUUCAAGAGCCUGGGAUGUCCCAGAGCAGGAAGCACGCGAGAACAUUUGUUUGUUACAUUUAGCUCACCAAAUGGUUUCAUUCAUGCUAAAGGAACUCAGUUUUGUUGUUGGUGUUGCUGUUGUUGUUGUUUGGCAUUUCUUUAAGAUAAGGGAAACUUAGGGAUAAAGAUUGAGUCAGAAAAGUGUUUCUAUUUUCCAAAUUAUAAACAUAUUUACUUAUUCACUCAAGAAAUGAGCACUGAUUUUGCAGGUCACUAUAUUGCCAGAUUGCUGUAUAUAUUUAAAUUGUGGCAGAAAAAUAUGACCAAAAAAUUCCUGAAAUUCAAGUUAUU
ensembl:lncRNA novel transcript, antisense to SYT1